rnacentral:rRNA from 1 species
UACGUAGGGGGCAAGCGUUGUCCGGAAUCAUUGGGCGUAAAGCGCGUGUAGGCGGCCCGGUAAGUCCGCUGUGAAAGUCGGGGGCUCAACCCUCGAAUGCCGGUGGAUACUGUCGGGCUAGAGUGCGGAAGAGGCGAGUGGAAUUCCUGGUGUAGCGGUGAAAUGCGCAGAUAUCAGGAGGAACACCGGUGGCGAAGGCGGAUCUCUGGGCCUUACCUGACGCUGAGGCGCGAAAGCUAGGGGAGCGAACAGG